UACGAAGGGGGCUAGCGUUGCUCGGAAUACUGGGCGUAAAGCGCGUGUAGGCGGCCAUCUAAGUCGGGCGUGAAAUCCCACGGCUCAACCGUGGAAGUGCACUCGAAACUGGAUGGCUAGAGUCCUGGAGAGGAAGGUGGAAUGCUUGGUGUAGAGGUGAAAUUCGUAGAUAUCAAGCGGAACACCGGUGGCGAAGGCGGCCUUCUGGACAGUGACUGACGCUGAGACGCGAAAGCGUGGGGAGCAAACAGG
rnacentral:rRNA from 1 species